ACACCGAUGGUGAAGCGGUUAUCAUGCUUGCCUUCCAUUGACAAAAUAGUACAAAGGAUUAGCAAGCGGCAGGGGUUCGACUCCCCUUCGGUGUA